rnacentral:rRNA from 1 species
AUUGAACGCUGGCGGCAUGCCUUACACAUGCAAGUCGAACGGCAGCACGGGUGCUUGCACCUGGUGGCGAGUGGCGAACGGGUGAGUAAUACAUCGGAACAUGUCCUGUAGUGGGGGAUAGCCCGGCGAAAGCCGGAUUAAUACCGCAUACGAUCCACGGAUGAAAGCGGGGGACCUUCGGGCCUCGCGCUAUAGGGUUGGCCGAUGGCUGAUUAGCUAGUUGGUGGGGUAAAGGCCUACCAAGGCGACGAUCAGUAGCUGGUCUGAGAGGACGACCAGCCACACUGGGACUGAGACGCGGCCCAGACUCCUACGGGAGGCAGCAGUGGGGAAUUUUGGACAAUGGGCGAAAGCCUGAUCCAGCAAUGCCGCGUGUGUGAAGAAGGCCUUCGGGUUGUAAAGCACUUUUGUCCGGAAAGAAAUCCUUGGCUCUAAUACAGUCGGGGGAUGACGGUACCGGAAGAAUAAGCACCGGCUAACUACGUG